rnacentral:rRNA from 1 species
CGGCGAGUGAAGCGUGCAACAGCUCAAAUUUGAAAGCUGGCUCUCGGGCCCGCGUUGUAAUUUGGAGAGGAUGCUUUUGCCCCGGCGCCUUCCGAGAGCCUUGGAACAGGCCGCCACAGAGGGUGAGAGCCCCGUACGGUCGGACGCCUAGCCUCUACAAAGCUCCUUCGACGAGUCGAGUAGUUUGGGAAUGCUGCUCAAAAUGGGAGGUAAAUUUCUUCUAAAGCUAAAUACCGGCCAGAGACCGAUAGCGCACAAGUAGAGUGAUCGAAAGAUGAAAAGCACUUUGAAAAGAGGGUUAAAUAGUACGUGAAAUUGUUGAAAGGGAAGCGCCUGUGACCAGACUUGCGCCCUGCGAACCACCCGGCGUUCUCGCCGGUGCACUCCGCAGGGUGCAGGCCAGCAUCGGUUCUCUCAGGGGGACAAAGGCCGCAGGAACGUAGCUCUCUCGGGAGUGUUAUAGCCUGUGGUGCCAUACCUCUAGGGGGACCGAGGACCGCGCUUCGGCAAGGAUGCUGGCGUAAUGGUCACCAGCGAC